rnacentral:misc_RNA from 1 species
GAUGAAGAACGUAGCGAAAUGCGACAAGUAAUGUGAAUUGCAGAAUUCCGUGAAUCAUCGAAUCUUUGAACGCACAUUGCGCCUGCCAGCACUCUGGCAGGCAUGCCUGUUCGAGCGUCAUUUCAACCAUCAAGCCCUAGGCUUGCGUUGGAGCCCUGCGGCUGCCGCAGGCCCCUAAAAGCAGUGGCGGGCUCGCUAUCACACCGAGUGCAGUAGAUUACUCUUCGCUCAGGGCGUGUGGCGGGUUCCAGCCGUGAAACCCCCUACUUCUCAAGGUUGACCUCGGAUCAGGUAGGAAUACCCGCUGAACUUAAGCAUAUCAAUAAGCGGAGGA